AGACGGGUGAGGAACACGUACGCAACCUCCCUUUAACUGGGGCACAACCUUGAGAAAUCAGGGCUAAUUCCCCAUAACAUUGCGAAAGGGCAUCCAAUUGCAAUUAAAGAUUCGUCGGUUAGAGAUGGGCGUGCGUUCGAUUAGCUAGUUGGUAAGGUAACGGCUUACCAAGGCAACGAUCGAUAGCUGGUGUGAGAGCACGACCAGCCACACGGGCACUGAGAUGCGGGCCCGACUCCUACGGGAGGCAGCAGUAAGGAAUAUUGGUCAAUGGGCGAAAGCCUGAACCAGCCAUGCCGCGUGAAGGAUGAAGGUCCUCUGGAUUGUAAACUUCUUUUAUCUAUGAAUAAACGCCCGAUUUCUAUUGGGUUUGAAGGUAAUAGAUGAAUAAGCACCGGCUAACUCCGUGCCAGCAGCCGCGGUAAUACGGAGGGUGCAAGCGUUAUCCGGAUUCACUGGGUUUAAAGGGUGCGUAGGUUGAUAGGUAAGUCAGUGGUGAAAUACUCCGACUCAAUCGGAGAACUGCCGUUGAUACUAUUUAUCUUGAAUACGGUGGAGGCGGGCGGAAUGCGUCAUGUAGUGGUGAAAUACUUAGAUAUGACGCAGAACACCCAUUGCGAAGGCAGCUCGCUACACCGGCAUUGACACU
rnacentral:rRNA from 1 species